GGAGAGAUGGCUCAACGGUCAAGAGCACUGGCUGCUCUUCCAGAGGACCUGGGUUCAAUUCCCAGCACCA
rnacentral:tRNA from 1 species